UGGGUGAGGAGAGCCGCGGUCGCCUCCCCCGCCGCAGCCGGGGACCAGCCUCCCCCUUUGCCGCGGGGGCCGCAUGAAGAAGAUCCUUAGCGGUGACGAUUUCAUAAAUUACAUGGCUCUUCCCUGAUGCUCCAUAAAUGGCCACUGGUCCCAAAUUAGUAUGUGGGAGCAAUGAUUGGAGAAUAUGAAGUCCUUAGUUUUAAUGUUUGUAACCCAGUUCAACAGCAUUUAAAUAAAUUUCUUCUGGAUGAGACAGUUUGAAGACAUAUGCUGGGUUGGGUUGUUCUUUUAUCUUGAGUAACUCUGGCCUUCUACUACAACUGCUCAGACUUUCUUCAAAACAGUUAAGAUGCUUUCUGUUACAGAUUCCCCUGUAUUAUUGUCAGUCCUUUGUUGAUAUGCUUGUGUUACCUGUCUCUCUCUCUCUUGAUUAAAAGCAGAAAAAAGGUAUGGAAGAUUAGAAGCUUCUGAUCAUACUCAGCAGUAGUUACAUUGACACUUCGUUUGCAAGCAGCUGGUUACCAGAGGCUGAAGCCAAUGUCAUCAUUUUGUUUGUGUUAUCAUGCUGAGUCCAAACUUUGCCAUUUAAAUACAACCAGAUGUUCCUUACCAGAGCCACUUUGAAUGCAGCAUGUUACACUACAACCCCAUCAGUGCUGAUCCCACUCUUCCAUCUUUGCUUUUAGUGCACUCCUGUUACUUUUCUCUUACUUACAGAAUUACCCUGAAAUG